UGGGGAGAACCGCCUUCAGGCGUUUGGACUCAGUGGAGGUUGUGAGUGCCCAGCAGUGUGGCCUGAAUCUCCGUGGGGUUUAGGGAGACGAAAGGACCCCAGAUCGACGUCCCCUCGUUCCCACUUUGGGGAUCGGCGCUCUGGCUGUUUCGUGAAGGAGAGAGAGGUUGAUUCCAUACCCUGGCUAUUGUGAAUAAUGCUGCAGUGAACAUGGGAGUACAUACAUCUGUUUGAGGAACUCAGAGUGGUUUUCCAGAUGGGAAUCACAUUGCUCUCUGUCCCUGAGAUCUUGCUGGAGACAGGGCUACUCAGUCCCUCUUUGCCAGGAUGUCCCUGAAGGACAAUGGUGAAUGGAAACUCUCCCGGUGGGCAGAACUUUGAGCAGUGUACCUGGUUGAUCACUUUGCUUGGACAAAUGGCUGGACCUGCCAUUUCUAUAUAUACUGAUUCAUGGACUGUGGACAAUAGUUUGGCUGCAUGAUCAGGAACUUGGAAAAAAACAUGAUUGGAAAA
rnacentral:lncRNA from 1 species